rnacentral:rRNA from 1 species
AUUGAACGCUGGCGGAAUGCUUUACACAUGCAAGUCGAACGGCAGCACGGACUUCGGCCUGGUGGCGAGUGGCGAACGGGUGAGUAAUAUAUCGGAACGUGCCCAGUCGUGGGGGAUAACGUAGUGAAAAUUACGCUAAUACCGCAUACGAUCUACGGAUGAAAGCGGGGGAUCGCAAGACCUCGCGCGAUUGGAGCGGCCGAUAUCAGAUUAGGUAGUUGGUGAGGUAAAGGCUCACCAAGCCGACGAUCUGUAGCUGGUCUGAGAGGACGACCAGCCACACUGGGACUGAGACACGGCCCAGACUCCUACGGGAGGAAGCAGUGGGGAAUUUUGGGCAAUGGACGCAAGUCUGAUCCAGCCAUUCCGCGUGCAGGACGAAGGCCUUCGGGUUGUAAACUGCUUUUGUACAGAACGAAAAGGUCUCUAUUAAUACUAGGGGCUCAUGACGGUACUGUAAGAAUAAGCACCGGCUAACUACGUGCCAGCCGCCGCAGUAA